AUUUACCCCAGGGGGACAAAGGAGAUAGAAGAAGGAGUGUAAGAUCCCCUUUCAGGGACCCCCACUCUAGUCUCAGAAGUGAGAGAGCACCCAAAGAAACAUGAGAAUCC
rnacentral:pre_miRNA from 7 species